rnacentral:rRNA from 1 species
AAGACGGCCUUCGGGUUGUAAACCUCUUUCAGUUGGGAGGAAGUUUCGGCGUUGAAUAGACGACCGGGAUGACAGUACCUUCAGAAGAAGCCCCGGCUAACUACGUGC